CUGGGCUUGAAGUGCCGGUUGUACCCCUACGAAAGAUAGGGGGACCCGCAAGGGAGCCGGUAGAGGUGCUGCAUGGUUGUCGUCAGCUCGUGUCGUGAGAUGUAUGGUUAAGUCCCAUAACGAGCGCAACCCUUGCCUCAUGUUGCUAAUCCGGCGCAAGCCGGAUGCACUCUUGAGGGACCGCCUCCGUUGAGGGGGAGGAAGAUGAGGAUGACGUCAAAUCAUCAUGGCCUUUAUGUCCAGGGCCACACACGUGCUACAAUGGCUACUACAGAUGGAACCCAACCCGCAAGGGGGAGGAAACCCAAUAAAAGUAGCCUCAGUUCAGAUCGAGGGCUGCAACUCGUCCUCGUGAAGGCGGAAUCGCUAGUAAUCGCUGAUCAGCAGGCAGCGGUGAAUACGUUCCC
rnacentral:rRNA from 1 species